GCUCCCUUAGCUCAGUUGGUAGAGUGACGGACUGUUAAUCCGAGGGUCGCAAGUUCAAGUCUUGCAGGGAGCGCCA
rnacentral:tRNA from 1 species